rnacentral:rRNA from 1 species
GACGAACGCUGGCGGCGUGCUUAACACAUGCAAGUCGAACGGUAAGGCCCUUCGGGGUACACGAGUGGCGAACGGGUGAGUAACACGUGGGUGAUCUGCCCUGCACUUCGGGAUAAGCCUGGGAAACUGGGCCUAAUACCGGAUAGGACCACUGCCUGCAUGGGUGGUGGUGGAAAGCUUUUGCGGUGUGGGAUGGGCCCGCGGCCUAUCAGCUUGUUGGUGGGGUGAUGGCCUACCAAGGCGACGACGGGUAGCCGGCCUGAGAGGGUGACCGGCCACACUGGGACUGAGAUACGGCCCAGACUCCUACGGGAGGCAGCAGUGGGGAAUAUUGCACAAUGGGCGCAAGCCUGAUGCAGCGACGCCGCGUGAGGGAUGACGGCCUUCGGGUUGUAAACCUCUUUCAGCACCGACGAAGCGCAAGUGACAGUAGGUGCAGAAGAAGGACCGGCCAACUACGUGCCAGCAGCCGCCGUAAAAC